GGGGUCGUAGCUCAGCUUGGUUAGAGCGCCUGCCUGUCACGCAGGAGGUCGCGAGUUCGAGUCUCGUCGACCCCGCAA
rnacentral:tRNA from 1 species